UGCUGUACUGGGGACCUAGAGUCUGAAU
rnacentral:piRNA from 1 species